UCCUGAAUUCAGGGCCGUUUAGCAAUAUCAGGAAAAUCCAGGAACCUAAUCACAAAACCCCCAAAUCUUUCCAAAAUCCUCAAAAUUAGGGUUUCACUUCCAUCUCUCAAAAACCCUAAAAUCUCUCGCAUUCAACAAUGGCAGAAUCUAUGUGUAGAACUCUCCGAGAUGGAUCAUUAGAAGGGGAGCAAGCACCAACCCUCACAAUCAGAGACACCACAGCUUCGCCGUUUGGUUUCCACGUUUUCUCUCACGUUCUCUCUCAGCUCUCCUCUUUCAUUUUAGCCUCCAAAUCCCAGUCCCGGUUCCUAUUCAAAACCACGCCGUUUUCGUUCGUUUUCAUUGUUAUUAUUAAUUUAAUUGAGAUUAAGUUAAUAGAUUUGUUGAUGUUGCAGUUGUAUUGUAAUUGUUGCAUUUUCACGGAGCCCGUCCUUUUACGUUGAUUUACUGAAGAGACGAGGAAUUGAUGCAAAAUCAUCUCAUAAAUGGAUUUUUGAAGUGAUUUAUGGGUGGGGACAUGCGGGCUGAAUAAUUGUUGUUGUAGCAUUCAGAUUUUGGAUUGCUAUUCGGAUCCGCUUGGUUGGAAGGAUCAGCUUAUGAUGUCGGGAAAUUUCACGGAUGUUUCCUAUGAAGUUUCUUUGAGUUUGAGUUGUGUUUGUAGGAAUGUGAAGGAUUUGGACAAGUUGUACUCUUUGAUUCUUGAACUGGGGAAAGGUAAUUUCUGUAUGAAUUUUUUGUUGCUGCUUGGUUUUGUCUGUGAAGGAUAGUAAUUUUUUUGUAUUUAUGCUUGCAGGAUUGGUUGGGCAAGGAAAAGAUUGUUUUUCUGUUGCCAUUGAUUCGGUAAUUCUGCAACCUGCAAGUUUGAAUCUCUAAUAACUGUAUUGGUUGUUAUUAUGCAAGAUUAGGGCUUAGGCUGCAUUGUUAAGUUUAAAUGAAGUUCAAGUGUUCUUGCCAGUGUGUUGUAAUGAUAUUCUAGUAAAUUGAUGCCUUAGGUCUGUAGCUAAGUUCCACUUUUUAUAGUGUGUUAAUGUGAACAACAGGCUGCUUUUUCUGAGUGGACACUUCUUGUCAAAUACUGACAUGAACCAAUAAGAAGUAUUCUGGACUACAAUAUCGGAUGUCUCUGUUGUUCAAAGUAUCACUCUAUUUUGCAUGUGAGAUGUGGAAACUUCCUGUGAACUGCCAAUGUUUUCUGACGAGGAUAGGCAUUGUAUGUCUAGUGUCCUACUUUAGAAGAAUAGGAGGUUAUAUGCUGAAAUGGAUGGAUUUGAUUGUACUUUUUGUAUUUUCCUAACUCUGCUGGAAAAAAUUUGAAAUAUCAUUCUUAGGUCAAAAAAAGCCAAAAAAUACUUAGUGCUUUUUUGUCUCAUUUUAGCUUGAGCAGACAUGCUCACAUGGAUGGAGAGCUGCCAUGGACCCUGUAUGGUCAUGUGAUGCUGCCUGCUCAUAUGUCAGUGCCUAUGGAAGCCUGGAGAAUUUGUUGAUUGAUAUCCAAAUCAUUGUCCUUAUUUCUUGAGUCAUGUCCUAAUGCAGGAGGAUGGAUCCUAGGACAUGGAUAUGAUGUUGGCUAUUCUUUUGGAAUGGCACCAAGGUUCAUUGUUACUGUUCUUUAAAAACCCAAUCAAUACAGAGUAUAUUUAUGAGAUAUUGAGCUUGUGGGAGUAUGUUAUUUUAUAUAAAAUUCUAAUGACAGCGUAACAUGUCAGAACACUCAGUUUCAAUGCCGAGUAGUCUUUUACAUGCAGUUCAAAUAUUUGCUCCUUUUUUUUCCCUUUUUCAUUCUGAUGGGUUCUUCGCAAUUUUAACCAGAUAAAUGAAAUGAUGAGACGUAUCUACAUCAACAGUUGCAGGCCUGUUAAGCAACCUUUGUAGCCAUGAACAGAUUUCUAGCAUCUUUUGGCUGUUACAUUCAGACCUUCAUGAAGUCAAGGUUACAUCUGCUCUUGAAUAUCUGUCCUCUGUGGUGGCCAGUGUAGAACCACUGCAUCAAACUGCUAAUGGACAGAGAAGGGAUUUGGAAAACCUCACUUUGUUAGAACAGAACUUUGGGGAAGGAAAGCUUCAAGUCCGAUUCAAGCACUGAAAUGGGCCUGUUCGUGUGAUGGUGAAUCUCUCUUUCUCUAUCCUUUCCCCCCUUUCUUCUUCUUGUGUUUUUUUUGGGGUCUGGUGGGAGUUGUUGCCCCUGAUUAUGAAGCUUCAAACUGCCAUAACAAAUAUUCUGUUUUUAGAGCAAAGGAUUUCAUAUCGAUCAGUCAGAUAUCAAUUUUACAUCUGUUUCAUCUGAAUAUGAACUAUUCAAUCAAAUUAAUCAAGGCCUUCUGCCAAA